UUUACCCCACCAAUGAGCAUAACAAUUCUGAAUUAUGGAGUACAAGAUUAAAUAUCAACUAAUUUACAUUUAACACACAUACACCUGUACAUAAUGGAGCCCUACGGAUAAUCACAAUAAGAUUCCUUACUGGUUCGUUAAAGCAUCCAAAUAUUCAAUCCACUUAUAUGGAUAUGGAUUUCACCUGAAAUAAAUCGAAACUCCCCCAAUAAUAAAGAGAGCCUAGGUUUGGCUAACUGCAAUUCCGGAUAAUGUAUUAAGGAAUAGGGCAUUCCAAGAGUCGGCUUCCAAAAUUGGCCUCCCUUUCUUGUAAGACAUAACAAACUACAUUCCGCGCCGUAUCGACCGAUACCCCCGAUUUUCCUUCCUCUGGAGGUGUUCGUCCGGUCUAGUAUGUGGAUGGAUGGUAACGAGAGCGAACUAGGGUUGAAGUCAAACAUAUGUAAGGAUGAUUGACAGCUAAUGGAAACAAAAGCAAUUCGAAUGUACGUGUGUGCAUGUGUAAGAUGCAAAUGAAUUGCAAAACAAGAUAAGGUAUGCAAAAACAGAUGCUAUGGAUAGGGCACUCGGCACAUAGCGCAGCAGCCCAGAGGCGAAUUUCCUACUGCCCCUAUUAAAUGGGCAUCGGUCGGCUCAAUCGUUAGUGUCGACGAGGUGAGAAUGAACAUCGUCAGC